AUUUUGCAAAAUGGCAUCGAACGUGCCGGCCGGUGAGAUUAAUUGUCAAUAAUUUUUGUGUUUUCAGUUGCAUUUUUUCUUGAUCAACAGCCAAUUUUUGGCAGAUUAAUACUGUAAUCUCAAUAAAUACUUCGAUUAUUUCCACCUUGAUUUUCUUUCGAUUCGGCAAAUUGAAAUUCGGAUCAUUCACUACGCAUUGUUUUGGUUCUUUGUCGUCAAAAAAGAGCACUAAUGGUGAUUUCCGCCAGCCGAAUAAGUGACUUAAAAUAGUUCUUUGACUAUUUUAUACGUCAACUUCUCCAUUCAAUCAUAUUUUUAAUUCGGAGAUUCAAUGCGGCGAAAUUCAGCACAUAACCUCAAAAUGGUUCUUACUUCAAAAACAAAAAAUCGCAGUUCUGGACGUUAAAAGAAUUAGUAGGAGUCAACUUCUCUUCGACGUGGACGAUCGAAAUCUUUUUUCCGAUAUAAACAUCAGGAUACUUUUCUGGCCAAGGGAUAUUUUCGACAUGGACAUCAAAAACUUUAUUCCAAAGAAAAAUGCGCGGGAUUCAUUUAUUCUAACUUGAGAAUCUGCGAACGAGAGUUAAUGCUGAAAGAAGAGGAAAACAAAAUUAUAGCUGAAAGAAGUGGAAAACAAAAUUAUAGCAACAGGAAAUGAAUAAUUGUAAUUCUAAUUAAUUUUAAAUAAAUAAUUGAAAUAAUUGAAAAUAUUUAUUUAUCUUCAUUUAUAGGGUUAAGGCUGAAAAAUGUGUAAGAGAAAAUUAUAGCAACAGGAAAUAAGUUAUUGUAUUUGUAAUAAAUUUGAA